GACGAACGCUGGCGGCGUGCUUAACGCAUGCAAGUCGUACGGUAAGGCCCUUUCGGGGGUCCACGAGUGGCGAACGGGUGAGUAACACGUGAGUAACCUGCCCACAACUUUGGGAUAACGCUAGGAAACUGGUGCUAAUACUGGAUAUGUGCUCCUGCUGCAUGGUGGGGGUUGGAAAGCUCCGGCGGUUGUGGAUGGACUCGCGGCCUAUCAGCUUGUUGGUGGGGUAGUGGCCUACCAAGGCGGCGACGGGUAGCCGGCCUGAGAGGGUGACCGGCCACAUUGGGACUGAGAUACGGCCCAGACUCCUACGGGAGGCAGCAGUGGGGAAUAUUGCACAAUGGGCGCAAGCCUGAUGCAGCAACGCCGCGUGCGGGAUGACGGCCUUCGGGUUGUAAACCGCUUUCAGCAGGGACGAAGCUUUUUGUGACGGUACCUGCAGAAGAAGCACCGGCUAACUACGUG
rnacentral:rRNA from 1 species